rnacentral:rRNA from 1 species
AUUGAACGCUGGCGGCAUGCCUUACACAUGCAAGUCGAACGGUAACAGGUCUUCGGAUGCUGACGAGUGGCGAACGGGUGAGUAAUACAUCGGAACGUGCCCGAGAGUGGGGGAUAACGAGGCGAAAGCUUUGCUAAUACCGCAUACGAUCUCAGGAUGAAAGCAGGGGACCGCAAGGCCUUGCGCUCACGGAGCGGCCGAUGGCAGAUUAGGUAGUUGGUGGGAUAAAAGCUUACCAAGCCGACGAUCCGUAGCUGGUCUGAGAGGACGACCAGCCACACUGGGACUGAGACACGGCCCAGACUCCUACGGGAGGCAGCAGUGGGGAAUUUUGGACAAUGGGCGCAAGCCUGAUCCAGCCAUGCCGCGUGCAGGAUGAAGGCCUUCGGGUUGUAAACUGCUUUUGUACGGAACGAAAAGACUCCUCCUAAUAAAGGGGGUCCAUGACGGUACCGUAAGAAUAAGCACCGGCUAACUACGUGCCAGCCGCCGCGGUAAGAC